rnacentral:lncRNA from 1 species
UCCAGUCCACUCUUGCACGUAGGAGGGAUGUUUUGACACUUAUGUUAUCAUAGGGUCACCGAUAUGCUCUUUUCAAUCCUUUGGCUAUCGGUUUGUAUGUCUCCCUGGAACUGGUUAAACAUUUUAUCUGCGGCCUAUCAAAUAUCCACACAUACAUAUUUUGUACAUAUACUUGUUGUAUUAUUAGUAAUAAAUAUUCUAUAUUCUUUCUACAAUUUGUAUUGUCUGUUUUUUA